GACAGGACACAAAAUUGAGAAAAGGGGGGGAGGGAGGGGAAAAAAUUAAAAAUGGGGUAGGGAAGAAAAGAGAAGAGGGUGGGUGGUUUUUUCCCCCUCCCCCUCCCUUCUCUUUUUCUCCCCCCUUCUUCUUUCGU